GCCUGUGUGGUGUAGUGGUUUUCAUUCCAUGAGGUAAUUUGAAGCGGGUUGUGGGAUUUAUCGAGUGUUGGAUUACUUAGCUCCCUACCUCAUGGGGCUCAGGCUCGAUUCCUGGCGCGGGCA